ACAUAAAAUAGAGUACAAAAUUAUUAUUGAUAAUUAGAUAUUGUAUUCUUCAUUAGUAAGUUUAUUGUUUUUUUUUUCAUUAUAAACGCAAAUAGCGUCCAGCAUCAUCGAUCUUGCACGUGACCUCUGGCAUGGAUUUAAAAUUUGUACCGGUAUUUUACUGGUUGCUUCUUUGUAGCUAAAACUAGUUUAUUGCGCUUCGAUAUCUCGCGUUAUUUAACUUGGGGUGAAGUGACGUGUUUGCAAGCGUACAUGUAAGAAUGAAAGCUACGUUUCGGUCGUGGGCCAUGCGUCUGCAUCGAAACGGGAACCGAGGAGAGCAAUACCGACACGCAGUAAUGAGGACGGCACCAGUAUAAAGCAACACACUCCAUGCACUAAACAGAAGCUGCUGCCUGCUACAAGGUCACUGUUUGGACUUUGGCUGCUACUACAAGAGUCUGUGCCAAGUACACCUUGGUCAUCACGGGAGCCUCAAUCUACACCAACAGGAAGGGGCUGGAGCCGAAUUCGCAAGACCAUGAACAAAGAAGCCAUUCCAGAAUUAUUUGGAGGAGAUAUCAGGUCUACGGACGACUGUGUCAAGAGCAAAAAGAGCCUCCGCCAUCAUUCCACCAGCACGGAUGUUGGCCAAGUCAUCCAGGUACCUCAACAAAAAUUCGUCUUCAGACGUAUUUGCAACCUCUGAACAAGCACAGAUGACGGUGGCCAAGAGCUCCGUCAGUUUGCCCUUCCUUAAUGAACUUCCUGGCCUUAUCAAAUUCCAUUUGUGCCAUUUUUUUUUUUUUUUUUCAAUGAAUGCAAGCUUUUUCAUUCCACAUUCUUGUUAGAGAUCAUUCCUCUUCCUUAUCCAAACAUUAAAGGUCAACCAAUUCUUUGCUCAUACUUAAUACCAGUCAUUGUCUAGUAGCAUAACAUAUCAGUAGCAGUAUCUUCUAGCGCACAUUGCCAGGUGCAAUUCCUCUCCUGAAAUAGCGGAUGCAGCAUUGGCAUGCAUCUUGCAUUAACCUUUGAACUGUGUGCUAUGUAGAAUUUAACUUUUCUUAAUGUUUUUGGCUUUCAGUGCUUGCAAGGUGCAGUGGCUUCUUUCUUGAAUGCAAGCUUUCUCAUUUCCAUAUUUAAUUCCUAGUCUCAUUCAGGAUUGCUGUUCUUGCUCGACAGCCUGUGUUAUUGCGCAAGCUACAUUGCAGUGAUUGAUUGCAUAAUCUUGUUUCGCUACUGUCGGACUUGGUACUCGUCACCACGUUAUGUUUCUCGUAUGUGGGAGCCUGGUCAGUUGCAUUGGGAAACAGUCUCUUGAGACAAGCACCUGCUCCUAUAGUCCGCACAGCAACAUAGACUGCGAAUUUACAUGGAGCACCAUGGUUGGUGCUCCCUGUUUGUCCUUUCCUGCUGCAGCCGUGGGUACAACGUGCUUGUGGCCAUCUUUGGUCGCGAUUCGGCGUGAACAGAGACUCUCAUACAUGAUUACAUGGUUUUAAGUGUAUGAAGUUAUCCACAUGGGUGGAAAGGUCUGCAAGAGUGGCUGCAAAACGGUGAUGCCCACAAAACAGACCAUGCCCAUAUUUAGAAAAUGUGGGGCACAAAGUGCGAGUUACACAUUCGUGGAAUGCCAAAAAACAAAACAAAAAGAAAACAUGCAGGUUGGAAAGGAGGUAACGCUAAAACGCCGGGUACUCCAUGUCACUGUGUUGGCUGCGGCAACAGAUGCUUGAGUCACCCAAUUGCUUCACAAUGCAAGUUGCUCUUCUUCAACGGCGACCAUCGGUGCAAACAGGUGGGACACACUGUCCAAUCUGCUUUCGCUGCUAGCUGUUGCUUGUUACCAGACCACCAUGUGCGACGAAGGCAAGCACUAUGCCUACAGUCGGACGGUUGAAUGUGCCGUAAGCGACCUUUGUGUGUGUAUGCUCACUGUUGUCAUUCAGAUCAUAGCCAAUGUAUAGUGUAUAGUGGCAAUGUAUAGAUUGAGCGUUAUGUUAGAGGUAUGCUGAAGUGAUUUGAUUGCAGAGUCUUGUUUCAAUGCUGUCCCACUUGGUCAUGGUUGCCAUGUUACAUUUAUCGGAUGUGGCGGCCCAAGGUUAGUUGCAUUGGGCAACAGCGUCUCGAGGCAAGCACCUGCUCCUGCAGUCCGCACAGCGACAGACUCCUUGUUCACAUGUACUAUGAUUGGUGCUCCCUGUUGCAGACAUGGGUAAAAUGUGCUUGUGGCCUUCUUCGGCGAUGAUUUGGCGUGAACGGAGACUAUCAUACAUGAUUACAUGGUCCGAAGUGUAUGAAGUUGAUAUCCACAUGGGUGGAAAGGCCUGCAAAAGUGGCUGCAAAAUUGUGAUUCCUACAAAACAGACCAUGUCCAUAUUGAGAGCAGGUGGGGCACCAAGUGCGAGUGACACAUUAGCGGCCACUGAACGAACAAAAAGAAAAGUGCAGGUAGGAGAGGAGUUAACGCUAGAAUGCUGGGUAGUUCAUGUCGCUGUGUUGGCUAUGGCAGCAGGUGCCUGUGUCACCCGAUUGAUUGCAGUGCAAGUUACAGAGACUGUAAAUGCAAACAGGUGGGGCACUGUUGAAUCAGUUGGCACUGCUGGUUGUCACUCGUUACUAGACCGCCAUGUCCGACGUAGGCAAGCACUGUUCUUGAAGUCGGAUAGCUGAAUGUGCUGUAAGUGACCUAUAUUGUGUGCCCACUGCUGUAAUGUGGAUCUUAGCCAAUGUAGUGUAUUGUUUAUGCGGUGAUUGAUUGCAGAGUCUCGUUUGAUAAUGGUUGCCACGUUACAUUUCUCGGAUGUGGUGGCCCGAGGUCUGUUGCAUUGGGCAACAGCCUCUCGAGGUAAGCACCUGCUCCUGCAGGCCGCACAGCAACAAAGACUCCCAAUUUACAUGCACCGUAAUUGGCGCUCCCCGUUCGACCUUUUCUGUUGCAGCCGUGGGCAAAUUAUGCUUGUGGGCCUUCAUUGACUGUGAUGUGGCGCGAACGGAGACCAGCACACGUGAUUACAUGGUCCGAACUGUAUGAAGUUGAUAGCCACAUGGGUGGAAAGGCCUGCAAAAGUGGCUGCAAAAUGGUGAUGCCCAUGUUGAGAAUGUGGGGCACGAAGUACGAGUUGCACAUUAGCGGCCCCCAAAAGAACAGAAAGAAAUGUGCAGGCUAGAAAGGAGGUAAUGCUAAAAUGCCGGGUAGUCCAUGUCGCUGUGUUGGCUGCGACAGCAGAUGCCUACAUCACCAGAUUGCUUCGCAAUGCAAGUUGCAGCGACUGUCGAUGCAAACAGGUGGGGCACUGCUUAAUUUGCUUGCGCUGCUUAUUGUCGCUCGUUACCAGACCGCUAUGUGCGACGACGAAAGUGAGCAGUUUACGAGCUCACGUUAAUGGUUUCAGCGCAUCUCAACAUGCAAAUUUUAUUUCUGCUCUUGUACGAGAAGAUGCACUGCUUUUCUUCUGCCAAUAAAGUCACACAUCCUGUUCA